AAACAGGUCUCAACAAACUUUUAAAAACUGAAAUCAUACCAAGUAUUUUUUCUUUUUUCUUUCUUUUUUUUUUUGAAAUGGGGUCUCACUCUGUCACCCAGGCUGGAGUGCAGUGGUGCAAUCCCAGCUCCACCUUUGCCUCCUGGGUUCAAGCAAUUCUCCUGCCUCAGCCUCCUGUGUAGCUGGGAUUACAUGCACGCACCACCACACCUGGCUAAUUUUUUUUUGUAUUUUUAGUAGAGAUGGGGUUUCGCCAUGUUGACCAGGCUGGUCUUGACCUCCUGACCUCAAGUGAUCCGCCCACCUCGGACUCCCAAAGUGCUGGGAUUACAGGCAUGAGCCACCGCACCCGGCCAUUCAAGUAUCUUUUGUGACUACAGUGCAAUACAACUAGAAAUCAAUAACAAGAACAACUUAGGAAACUAUACAAAUAUGUGGAAAUUAAACAACAUGCUCCUGAACAACCAGUUGGUCAAUGAAGAAUUAAGAAGGAAUUAGAAAAUUUAUUGAGACAAAUGACAGUGGAAACACAACAUACCAAAAACAGUGGGAUACUGCAAAAGUAGUACUAAGAGGGAAGAAAAUAGCAAUUAACAUCUAUAUCAAAAAGUAGAAAGAGCUCAACCUAAUGUUGCACCUCAAGAAACUAGAAAACCAGGACAAACCAAACCCAGAAUUAGUAGAAGGAAAGAAAUAAUAAAGAUCAGAGCAGAAAUAAAUGAAAUAGAGAAUGAAAAAAUAUAUAUAUAAAAGAUUAACAAAAGAGUUGUUUGUUUCAGAAGAUAAAAUUAACAAACCUUUAGCUAGACCAAGGGGGAAAAAAGACUCAAAUAAAUAAAAUCAGAGAGAAAAAGGAGACAUUGCAACUGACAGCACAGAACUAUGAAGAAUCACUAGAGGCUGUUAUGGGUAACUGUGCCAACAAAUUGGAAAACCUAGAAGAAGUGAAGAAAUUUGUGGACACAUACAGCUUACCGACACUGAAUCAUGACAAAACAGAAAACCUGGACACACCAAUAAUGAGUAAUGAGAUGGAAUCGGUAAUGAGUCUCCUAUCAAAGAGAAGCCCAGGGCCCGAUGUUGUCACUGCCGAAUUCUACCACAACUUCAAGGAAGAACUAAUACCAAUUCUUCCCAAAUUAUUCCACAAAAUCGAAGGAGAGAGAAUUCCUCCAAACUCAUUCUACAAGGCCAACAUUAUCAUGAUACCAAAGCUACAGAGGGGCACAAGAGGAAAAACUACAGGCUAGUACCCCCGAUGAGUAUAGCUACAGAAAUCCUUCACAAAAUACUAGCAAACCAAAUCUAAUCGCUGCACAUUAAAAAAAAAUCAGAAGAUAGCCGGUGUCGGUGAGGAUGGGGAGAAAAGGGAACCCUUACACGCUGCUGGUGGGAAUGUAAGUUAGUACAGCCAUUAUGCGACACAGUCUGGAGGUUCCUCAAAAAGUUAAAAAUAGAACUACUGUGUGAUCAAGCAAUCCCAAUACUGAGUAUAUAUCCAGGGGAAACACAAUCGGUGUAUCAAAGCGAUACCUGCACUCCUCUAUUUAUUGCAGUGCUAUUCAUGAUAGCCAAGGUAUGAAAUCAACUUAAAUGUCCAUCAACAGCCAGGCGCGGUGGCUCACUCCUGUAAUCCCAGCACUUUGGGAGGCCGAGGUGCACAGAUCAUGUGAGCCCAGGAGUUUGAGACCAGUCUGGCCAUCAUGGAGAAACCCCAUCUAACUAAAAAUACAAAAAUUAGCCAGACAUGGUAGCCUGCGCCUGUAGUCCCAGCUACACGGGAGGCUGAGGCAGGAGAAUCGCUUGAACCUGGGAGGCAGAGGUUGCAGUGAGCCAAGAUUAUGCCACUGCACUCCAGCCUGGGCGACAGAGUGAGAGUCUGUCUUAAAAAAAAAAAAUGUCCGUCAACAGAUUAAUGGCUAAAGAUAAUGGGGUGUGUAUACACUAUGGAAUACACUUCAACCUUAAUUCUUUCAGUUUUGGCAACAUGGGUGAACCUGGAGGAUGUUACCUUAAGGGCAAUAAGCCAGGCACAGAAAGACAGCUGUCACAUGCUAUUACUCGGUAAUCUAAAAAGUUGUUCUCAUGGAGGUAGAGAGUGGAAUAGUGGUUGCCAGAGGAUGAGGAGGGUAGGAGGGAGAAGGGCAUGGAGAGAGAUUGGUCAACAGGUACAUGGUUGUAGUUAGGCAGGAGGAGUACGUUCUGGUGCUCUGUUGCACAGUAAGGCGGGAGAAGGGCAUGGAGAGAGAUCGGUCAACAGGGCCAAGGGGACAGACAGUUAGACAGAAGGAGUACAUUCUGGUGCACAGUAAGAUGACGAGGGUUAACAGCAGUGUAUGGUGUAGUUCAGAAUAGCUGGAAGAGAGGUUUUUGAAUGUUCUCAUCACAGGGAAAUGAUAAAUAUUUAAGGUGAUGGAUAUGCUAAUUACUUUGUUGCGAUCAAUGCACAAUAUAUCCAUUGUAUACUAUCAAUAUGUACAAUUAUGUAUCAAUCAAAAUUUUUUAAAAAGGUGACACUAAAUACGGUAGCUAUGUAAAUCAAUUUUUUACAGAAGUUUUCUUCUACAUGAGCAGAUACCAAAUAUAGAUUGUUUGGUGUAUCUUAGAAUAAAAGCCACAUUCUUUUGUAGCUUUGGCACCUUAGGGACACUUCAUUGUGAGGAAGGGAAAUUCUUCAGCUUUGUCCAGAGGAAAUUAUAGGUAGAUCUGAAUGCUCAAAGUUUCUAAGAUGUCAAUGCUCUUUGUGUAAUUUUGGAAUCAAAGCCCUAGGAUGAUAGAGUACUUAAUGUUUGCUUUUGGGAUUUAUCAUGUUCUUUUUUUUUUUUUUUUUUUUUUGAGACAAUCUCACACUUGUUGCCCAGGCUGGAGUGCAAUGGCAUGAUCUCAGCUCACUGCAACCUCCACUUCCCAGGUUCAAGCGAUUCUCCUGUCUCAGUCUCCCGAGUAGCUGGGAUUACAGGCAUGUGCCACCACGCCUGGCUAAUUUUUGUAUUUUUUGGUAGAGAUGGGUUUUCACCAUGUUGGCCAGGCUGGUUUCUAGCUCCUGACCUCAGGUGAUCCACCCGCCUCAGCCUCCCAAAUUGCUGGGAUUACAGGUGUGAGCCACUGCGUCCAGCCUCAUGAUGUUCUUUAACAGUUAACCUUGUAAGAUCAGUACAGAAUGAAUCAGAACACAGGUAUGCAGAGUCACGUCAUGAGUCAGACUGAUUCUCAGGCCUAUGAGACCGGAUUGUAACCUGUUGGCACAUGGGAAAACUGUGUCACUAAGAAAUCAGAGGCUAGUUUGCUCUGAGGAAGAGGCAUAGGAUAUGCAGAGUCACUGGGCAAAAGUUGGCAGUCCAUUGGCCUCUGCGAUGGCCGUUUCUUACGGUAUAAUCAUAAAUGACAUUUUAGUGACCGCCUUAGUCCUACAGUUUCUGUCCUUCACGAUGCUGUAGUUAGCGCUUGGAAAUAUAGGAAAUAAGAAGUUGUUUUUGGCCUUUUUUGUUUGGCAAAAGAUGUCUGGUUCUGUGUGGAUGCCUUCAUCUUUUUGUAUAUUGUGCAGGU
rnacentral:lncRNA from 1 species